UACGGAGGGUGCAAACGUUGCUCGGAAUUAUUGGGCGUAAAGAGCUCGUAGGCGGUUUGUCGCGUCUGCUGUGAAAACUGGAGGCUCAACCUCCAGCCUGCAGUGGGUACGGGCAAACUAGAGUGCGGUAGGGGAGAUUGGAAUUCCUGGUGUAGCGGUGGAAUGCGCAGAUAUCAGGAGGAACACCGAUGGCGAAGGCAGAUCUCUGGGCCGUAACUGACGCUGAGGAGCGAAAGCAUGGGGAGCGAACAGG
rnacentral:rRNA from 1 species